rnacentral:rRNA from 1 species
AUACGGAGGAUCCGAGCGUUAUCCGGAUUUAUUGGGUUUAAAGGGUGCGCAGGCGGCCAUUUAAGUCAGCGGUUAAAUCGUGGGGCUCAACCCCAUUCUGCCGUUGAUACUGGGUGGCUUGAUUGCGGUCGAGGUUGGCGGAAUUCGUUGUGUAGCGGUGAAAUGCACAGAUAUGACGAAGAACACCGAUUGCGUAGGCAGCUGACCAGACCGCAAAUGACGCUCAUGCACGAAAGUGCGGGGAUCGAACAGGAUUAGAUACCCUGGUAGUCCGCACAGUAAACGAUGAAUACUUGUUUUCGGCGAUAUAAUGUCGGAGGCAAAGCGAAAGCGAUAAGUAUUCCACCUGGGGAGUACGCCGGCAACGGUGAAACUCAAAGGAAUUGGCGGGG